AGUGAACGCUGGCGGUAGGCCUAACACAUGCAAGUCGAACGGCAGCACAGUAAGAGCUUGCUCUUACGGGUGGCGAGUGGCGGACGGGUGAGGAAUACAUCGGAAUCUACUUUUUCGUGGGGGAUAACGUAGGGAAACUUACGCUAAUACCGCAUACGACCUACGGGUGAAAGCAGGGGAUCUUCGGACCUUUCGCGAUUGAAUGAGCCGAUGUCGGAUUAGCUAGUUGGCGGGGUAAAGGCACACCAAGGCAACGAUCCGUAGCUGGUCUGAGAGGAUGAUCAGCCACACUGGAACUGAGACACGGUCCAGACUCCUACGGGAGGCAGCAGUGGGGAAUAUUGGACAAUGGGCGAAAGCCUGAUCCAGCCAUACCGCGUGGGUGAAGAAGGCCUUCGGGUUGUAAAGCCCUUUUGUUGGGAAAGAAAAGCAGCAGGUUAAUACCCCGCUGUUCUGACGGUACCCAAAGAAUAAGCACCGGCUAACUUCGUG
rnacentral:rRNA from 1 species